rnacentral:rRNA from 1 species
GAUGAACGCUGGCGGCGUGCCUAAUACACGCAAGUCGAGCGAAUGGAUUAAGAGCUUGCUCUUAUGAAGUUAGCGGCGGACGGGUGAGUAACACGUGGGUAACCUGCCCAUAAGACUGGGAUAACUCCGGGAAACCGGGGCUAAUACCGGAUAACAUUUUGAACCGCAUGGUUCGAAAUUGAAAGGCGGCUUCGGCUGUCACUUAUGGAUGGACCCGCGUCGCAUUAGCUAGUUGGUGAGGUAACGGCUCACCAAGGCAACGAUGCGUAGCCGACCGGGGAGGGGGAUCGGCCACACUGGGACUGAGACACGACCCAGACUCCUACGGGAGGCAGCAGUAGGGAAUCUUCCGCAAUGGACGAAAGUCUGACGGAGCAACGCCGCGUGAGUGAUGAAGGCUUUCGGGUCGUAAAACUCUGUUGUUAGGGAAGAACAAGUGCUAGUUGAAUAAGCUGGCACCUUGACGGUACCUAACCAGAAAGCCACGGCUAACUACGUGCCAGCCGCCGCAGUAA